rnacentral:lncRNA from 1 species
CCAGCACUUUGGGAGGCAAGGUGGGCAGAUCACUUGAGGUACGGAGUUUGAGACCAGCCUGGCCAACGGUAAAACCCUGUCUCUACAAAAAAUUUAGCUGGCUAUGGUGGCAGGCACCUGUAAUCCCAGCUAUUCAGGAGGCUGAGGCAGGAUAAUUGUUUGAACCUGGGAGGCAGAGGUUGCAGUGAGCUGAGACAGCGCCACUGCACUCCAGCUUCGGUGACAGAUUGAAACUCGGUCUCAAAAAAAAAAAAAAAAAGUUUAAUUGACUCACAUGGCUGGGGAGGCCUCAGGAAACUUACAAUAAUGGCAGAAGGUGAAGGGGAAGCAAGGCACAUCUUACAUGGCAGCAGAAGAGAAAGGGAGAGCAAAGAGGAAGAGCCACACACUUAUCAAACAACCAGAUCUCCUGAGAAUUCGAUCACGAGAAUAGCAAGGGGGAAGUCCGCCCCCAUGAUUCAGUCACCUCCCACCAGGCCAUUCCCCCAACAUGUGGGGAUUACAAUUUGAGACAAGAUUUGGGUGGGGACACAGAGCCAAACCAUAUCAGGCAUGCAAUCUUGUGAGACGUGAGACACAGAGAGAAAUAGCACUGAAUUUAUCCUUGUAUCAGGAGCCUACCCCUGUGAUAACUAACUCAUUCCCAUGAUAAUGGCAUUAAUCCACUCAUGAGGACAGAACUUUCAUGACUUAAUCACCUCGUAAAGGCCUCAUCUCUUAAUAUUGUUACAAUGGCAAUUAAAUUUCAACAUGAGUUGGAGGGGAUGUUCAAACCAUAGCACUCUCAAUAAAAAAUUAUACAAUAGGCAGGGCGAGGUAGUUCCCUCCUAUAAUCCCAGCACUUUGGGAAGCCAAGGUGGGCGGAUUACCUGAGGCAAGGAGUUCGAGACCAGCCCAGCCAACAUGGCAGAACACUGUCUCUACUAAAAAUACAAAAAUUAGCUGGGCAUAGUGACACACACCUCUAAUCCCAGCUACUCGAGAGGCUGAGGCACAAGAAUCCCUUGAACCUGGGAGGCAGAGGUUGCAGUGGGUUGCGAUUGUGUCUCUGCACUCCAGCCUCAGUGACAGAGGGAGACUCUGUCUCAAAAAAAAAAAAAUUAAAAAUUAAAAAAAUAUAUGUAUAUAUACAAGGUAGAUAUUGAAUAUCUGCAUGCAAAAGAAUGAAUUUGGAUCCCUAUAUCACAAUACAUAUAAAAGUUAACUCAAAUUGAAUCAUAGAACUAAAAGUUAGGACUCUUAGAAUCUUUAUAACUUUGAAUUAAGCAAUGCUUUCUUAGAUAUGACACCAAAAGCACAAGCAACAAAAGAAAAAAAUACAGAAACUGAACACCAUCAAAAUUGAAACCUCUUGCGCUUCAUAUGACAUUAUUCUUUAAUUUUUUUCUUUUUCUUUCCAAAUACCCAGACGUCAGGGAGAUUCACAGGACAUUAUUAAGAAAAAGAGAAGAUAAAAAAGAAAAGGAGAAGAUAACCCACAGAGCAGGUAAAAAUCUUUGCUAAUCAUAUAUCUGGGAAGGGAUUUGUACCUAGACUGUAUAAAGAACUAUUGCAACUCAAUGAUAAAAAAGACAAAUAAUCCAAUUUAAAAAUGGAAUUAGGCUGGGCACGGUGGCUCACGCCUGUAAUCCCAGCACUUUGGGAGGCUGAGGCAGGGGGAUUGCUUGAGCCUGGAAGUUUCAGAGACCAGCCUGGGCAACAAAAUGGAACUCAAAAAGUAAAAAUCUUGGCUUGUUUGAAAACACACACACACACACACACACACACACACACACACACACACAGCCAAAACAAAUGUGUUUCCCAUCUCGGGCUUGGGCACUGGGUCACAAGCUUGGACAGUGAAGCUACUUCUAAACCCAGCACAGGGUACAGUGGAUGCAGGACAUGGGAUAAACUCCUGUUAGAUUAAGCCCGUCCCUCUGCUUCUGAGGUCUGGCCUGCCUCGCUGUUCUGGUCAGAACCUGUUUUAUGCAAUUGGAGAGGAGAGGGGUCCCAGGAGUAUUAGCCCUAAUGUGAGAAAUUAGAUUACAGGUCUCUGAAAGGGAUUCUGCAAACCAAUCCUCCUUCCAAGCCUACUCUACCCAUACCUAAUAUUCUUAAGCAGUUAUGAAUUUUGCAGAGGUCUACAACACUUGACACUCACUCAAGGCAACUGUGAGGAAACUGAGGCUUAAAGGCCACUAGUAAGCAGUGUAAAAAGGACCUGAUCAUGACAAUUAUUCUUUGAGUGCCUACCAUGCAUGUGCUGGGCUCAGGCCCUUCACUCAAACCCUGGCUCGUACUCUCUGAAGGGUCCUGGGUGAGGAAGAUGUCAAGAACCCCAUACCUCAUCACUGACUCCCUGCCGGGGGCAUGUGCUGCUCCCAGCCUGAGAUGAGUGCUGUUCAUUACACGUCAUCUCCAUGAAGCCUCCCGCAUUUGCUCCAGGAAAGGCCCGUUCGCCACCCUGGCGUCAUUCACUCUGUGUUGCUGAUAUUGAGUCUGUUUCCUUCAAGGGGAAACAGGCUACCCAAGGACUGGGGCUGCUGCCUUCAUUUCUGUAACCUCCGGGGGGAGCUCUUGUGUGAGCCGCAUGAUGGAUGCUUGCUAACAGCUCUAGGCAGGAGGCAGAGGGAAACUGAGGUCUGCCGAGUCAUCCCUGGCCCAGGUACUUCAUGCGUGUGCAGUGUUGCUGUGGAAUCUUUACCACAACCUCCCAUCCCUGUUUUACAGAUGAAGAAACAGGCUCAGAAGAGGCAGACGUGUCUAAGAUCACACAAGCCUUGACACCAUGAGCUAGAAGCUGAGGGUGAGGUCACUUCACAUCCCUUCCCUUUAGGUUCUACUCUAUGUGGGUAGCGUCCUCGACACAGAAAGCCUGAUAAAAGAUGGCAAAAUUACCGGGCGUGGUGGCUCAUGCCUGUAAUCCUAGCACUUUGGGGGGCUGAGGCGGAUGGAUCACUUGAGGUCAGGAGUUCGAGACCAGCCUGACCAACUAGAGGCUGGUCUUUAGUAGAGGGUUGGUGAAACCCUCUACUAAAAAUACAAACACUGGCUGGCAUCGUGGCGCAAGCCUGUGGUCCCAGCUACUCGGGAGGCUGAGGCAGGAGAAUCACUUUAACCCAGGAGGCGGAGGUUGCAGUGAGCUGAGAUCGUG